rnacentral:tRNA from 1 species
GGCGGGUGGUGUGAUGGACAACCCAGCAGCCAGGUUACUUGAUCUCAGCGAUUCACCUCGUCGGGAAGAGGAUUGAAAAUCCCUGUGUCGGCGGUUCGAUUCCGUCCCCGGCCACCA